CGGUAAUUCCAGCUCCAAUAGCGUAUAUUAAAGUUGUUGCGGUAAAAAAGCUCGUAGUUGGAUUUCUGUUGAGGAAGAGCGGUCCAUACCACGUAUGCGUAUCUGCUUCUGCCUCGGCAUCCUCUCGAAGCACGUUCCUGCGCUUGAUUGCGUGGGGCGGAUUUCGGGACUUUUACUUUGAGGAAAUUAGAGUGUUCACAGCAGGCUAUCGCUUGAAUACGUUAGCAUGGAAUAAUGAUAUAGGAUCUCGAUUCUAUUUUGUUGGUUUCUAGGAUUGAGGUAAUGAUUAAUAGGGACAAUUGGGGGCAUUCAUAUCAACACGUCAGAGGUGGAAUUCUUGGAUUGUGUUGCGACGAACUACUGCGAAAGCAUUUGCCAAGGAUGUUUUCAUUGAUCAAGAACGAAAGUAAGGGGAUCGAAGAUGAUUAGAUACCGUCGUAGUCUUUACCACAAACUAUGCCGACUAGAGAUGGGACAUCGUUCACUUACGACUUGUUCCGCACCUUAUGAGAUAUCAAAGUUUUUGGGUUCCGGGGGGAGUGCGGUCGCAAGACUGAAACUUAAAGGAAUUGACGGAAGGGCACCACCAGGAGUGGAGCCUGCGGCUUAAUUUGACUCAACACGGGAAAACUCACCAGGUCCAGACAUAAUAAGGAUUGACAGAUUGAUAGCUCUUUCUUGAUUUUAUGGGUGGUGGUGCAUGGCCGUUCUUAGUUCGUGGAGUGAUUUGUCUGCUUAAUUGCGUUAACGAACGAGACCUUAACCUGCUAAAUAGACCAGCCUAUCUCCGGAUAAGCUGCUGUCUUCUUAGAGGGACUGUCUGUGUUUCAACAGGCGGAGGUUUGAGGCUAAAACAGGUCUGUGAUGCCCUUCGACGUUCUGGGCUGCACGCGCGCUACACUGAUGCGUUCAACGAGUGUACAACCUUGCCCGAUAGGGUUGGGUAACCUUUUGAACACGCAUCGUGAUGGGGAUUGACAAUUGCAAUUAUUUGUCAUCAACGAGGAAUUCCUAGUAGUGAUGGAUCAUCAGUUCAUCGCGAUUACGUCCCUGCCCCUUGUACACACCGCCC
rnacentral:rRNA from 1 species